rnacentral:rRNA from 1 species
CUACGGAGGGUGCAAGCGUUAUUCGGAAUCACUGGGCGUAAAGGACGCGUAGGCGGGUUGGCAAGCCAGAUGUGAAAUCCUACAGCUUAACUGUAGAACUGCAUUUGAAACUGCUAACCUAGAGUAUGGGAGGGGGAGAUGGAAUUAGUGGUGUAGGGGUAAAAUCCGUAGAUAUCACUAGGAAUACCGAAAGCGAAGGCGAUCUCCUGGAACAUAACUGACGCUAAGGCGUGAAAGCGUGGGGAGCAAACAGGAUUAGAUACCCUAGUAGUCC